rnacentral:rRNA from 1 species
UACGUAGGGUGCGAGCGUUGUCCGGAAUUAUUGGGCGUAAAGGGCUCGUAGGCGGUUUGUCGCGUCGGGUGUGAAAUCCACUGGCUUAACUGGUGGCUUGCUUUCGAUACGGGCAGACUGGAGGUAUGCAGGGGAGAACGGGAUUCCUGGUGUAGCGGUGAAAUGCGCAGAUAUCAGGAGGAACACCGGUGGCGAAGGCGGUUCUCUGGGCAUGUCCUGACGCUGAGGAGCGAAAGUGUGGGGAGCGAACAGG